GAUGAACGCUAGCUACAGGCUUAACACAUGCAAGUCGAGGGGCAGCAUGGUCUUAGCUUGCUAAGGCCGAUGGCGACCGGCGCACGGGUGAGUAACACGUAUCCAACCUGCCGUCUACUCUUGGACAGCCUUCUGAAAGGAAGAUUAAUACAAGAUGGCAUCAUGAGUUCACAUGUUCACAUGAUUAAAGGUAUUCCGGUAGACGAUGGGGAUGCGUUCCAUUAGAUAGUAGGCGGGGUAACGGCCCACCUAGUCUUCGAUGGAUAGGGGUUCUGAGAGGAAGGUCCCCCACAUUGGAACUGAGACACGGUCCAAACUCCUACGGGAGGCAGCAGUGAGGAAUAUUGGUCAAUGGGCGAGAGCCUGAACCAGCCAAGUAGCGUGAAGGAUGACUGCCCUAUGGGUUGUAAACUUCUUUUAUAAAGGAAUAAAGUCGGGUAUGUAUACCCGUUUGCAUGUACUUUACGAAUAAGGAUCGGCUAACUCCGUG
rnacentral:rRNA from 1 species